rnacentral:rRNA from 1 species
CUAUAAGUGGAUUAGUGGCGGACGGGUGAGUAACGCGUGAGUUAACCUGCCUUAGAGAAGGGGAUAGCCUUUGGAAACGAAGAAUAAUACCCUAUGACAUGAUAGCCUCGCAUGAGAUUAUCAUCAAAGAUUUAUCGCUCUAAGAUGGACUUGCGUCUGAUUAGUUAGUUGGUGGGGUAACGGCCCACCAAGACAGCGAUCAGUAGCCGGCUUGAGAGAGUGUACGGCCACAUUGGGACUGAACACGGCCCAGACUCCUACGGGAGGCAGCAGUGGGGAAUUUUGCACAAUGGGGGAAACCCUGAUGCAGCGACGCCGCGUGAUUUAGAAGGCCUUCGGGUUGUAAAAAUCUUUUCUAUGGGAAGAACAUGACAGUACCAUAGGAAUAAGGACCGGCUAAUUACGUGCCAGCAGCCGCGGUAAUACGUAAGGUCCGAGCGUUGUCCGGAAUCAUUGGGCGUAAAGGGUACGUAGGCGGGUAAGCAAGUUAGAAGUGAAAUCCUAUAGCUCAACUAUAGUAAGCUUUUAAAACUGCUCAUCUUGAGGUAUGGAAGGGAAAGUGGAAUUCCUAGUGUAGCGGUGAAAUGCGCAGAUAUUAGGAGGAAUACCGGUGGCGAAGGCGACUUUCUGGCCAUAACCUGACGCUGAGGUACGAAAGCGUGGGUAGCAAACAGGAUUAGAUACCCUGGUAGUCCACGCCGUAAACGAUGAGUGUUAGGUGUCUGGAGUAAUCUGGGUGCCGCAGUACGC